GUCUUCUUGUUUGAAUAAGAAGUCUGACCUGCCCGGUGAUAUAUAAUUUUAACGGCCGCGGUAUUUUUGACCGUGCAAAGGUAGCAUAAUCAUUAGUCUUUUAAUAGGAGGCUGGCAUGAAGGGUUUGACGAGGAGUUGACUGUCUCAUUUGAUUUUAUUUUAGAAUUUAACUUUUCAGUUAAAAGGCUGAAAUUUCAUUGGAAGACGAGAAGACCCUAUAGAGUUUAAUAAUUAAUUUUAUAAUUAUGUAUUAUAUUUGAUUUAUAUAUUUAAUUAUUUUGUUGGGGUGACAAAAAUAUAUAAUUAACUUUUUUAUUUAUUUAUCAUUGAUAUAUGUACUUAAGAUCCAGUCUUAUUGAUUGUUAGAAUAAGUUACC
rnacentral:rRNA from 1 species